AGUAGAACCGGUCGCCAUGUCCGCGGGGAGCGCGACGCAUCCUGGAGCUGGCGGGCGCCGCAGCAAAUGGGACCAACCAGCUCCAGCCCCACUUCUCUUCCUCCCGCCAGCGGCCCCAGGUGGGGAGGUCACCAGCAGUGGGGGAAGUCCUGGGGGCACCACAGCUGCUCCUUCAGGAGCCUUGGAUGCUGCUGCUGCUGUGGCUGCCAAGAUCAAUGCCAUGCUCAUGGCAAAAGGGAAGCUGAAACCAACUCAGAAUGCUUCUGAGAAGCUUCAGGCUCCUGGCAAAGGCCUAACUAGCAAUAAGAGCAAGGAUGACCUGGUGGUAGCUGAAGUAGAAAUUAAUGAUGUGCCUCUCACAUGUAGGAACUUGCUGACUCGAGGACAGACUCAAGACGAGCCGACUUAGUGGGGCUGCAGUAUCAACUCGAGGGAGGUUCAUGACAACUGAGGAAAAAGCCAAAGUGGGACCAGGGGAUCGUCCAUUAUAUCUUCAUGUUCAGGGCCAGACACGGGAAUUAGUGGACAGAGCUGUAAACCGGAUCAAAGAAAUUAUCACCAAUGGAGUGGUAAAAGCUGCCACAGGAACAAGUCCAACUUUUAAUGGUGCAACAGUAACUGUCUAUCACCAGCCAGCACCCAUCGCUCAGUUGUCUCCAGCUGUUAGCCAGAAGCCUCCCUUCCAGUCAGGGGUAUGUUUUGGGGAGGGAUCAUUAAUAGCAUUAUCAUUUCUAUAAAAAUGAUAUGUGCUGGCC
rnacentral:lncRNA from 1 species